CAUUUUCUCCAUAAGGAUUUUGAUUAUUAUCCGUGAUGUCUAAACCAUCCAGACUGACCACGAGCUGGGAGAUUGUAAAACGAAGGUUUCUGCUCCUGUGGAAGUCAGAAGCCCGUAUGAAAUGAACCUUGUUUUAAGAAAAACACGUUCGUACUGCACUACCCACAAUCCCAAAGCGUAACUAGGAUAUCUAACUGGAACCUACUACUUCUUGUUACCAUAACGUGUCUGGCACCUAGCGAGCUACUACCACUGACGUGUAUGAUCGUUUGUGAGGUUUGUUGUACAUUGAGACUUGUUUUAGUUUUCAAAAUGUUCUUUUUUUAUGCACCGAAUCAAAAAACCUCUCGUAGCUGGUUGGUUCCAGGCUUAAAACACAUUAAAUGUCAAUGGAGACACUGAAUGGGGAAAAAUCCCUUCCAGAGCUGUUCAAAAAGUGGGCGGUCACUAUUCUGGUCCGGUCUCGAGUUCUUAAAAA